AGUGGGGGUGACAAUUAUCCCCACUUCAUAGGGUUAUUGAGAGAAUUAAAUGAGAUCAUGCAUGUAAAACCCAGCAAUCACUGGUGGCCAUUAUUGUUAUUGCUGUUAUUAUUAUUAUUUUAAAAAUCUAGUUUGGUAAUAGAAGCUCUUUAAUUCAACAACUUUCCAAAGUAAGAAGAGUGUUUUAUGUUUUUCUAAGCCUCUUCUCUAGGGAGCAAUCAAAAUGAACCAAGGUAUCAUCAAAGAGCUUGUUCCCCAUCGGGAAUGUUCAGAUACAAAGACACAAAUUCUUUAAUCAGUUCUGCUAUCGAUAAACUCAAAAGCAAGAAAUUUGCUUUGUUUAUAGAGGGAGGCAUUCUUUCCAGCAGGAAUCAGUCAGGAACAUGUUACACACUCUCUCUGUUUCCAGUGAACUGCUGCUCGCUGCCUUCCAUCCAGAGAGGGAAGGGCCAAACCCCUGUGCCCUCGUGUGGCAGUUACCACCCCACCCCAACUAGUUCUUGAUUUCACGUGGCCUCAAAUGCCAUCAAAAUCCAUCCCCAUGGUCUCUGGUCUGCAAUAGAGGCCAAUGUCCCUGUUUCAUGUGACAUUUGGGAUGCACUUUGCAAUACCGGGAUGUGGGGGUAUGGUAUUACUGUUCAGCCCUUAGUGCAGCAAGGGGAAUUUUCAUACGUACUUAGAGUUGGAAGGUGUCUAAGAUAGCAUCUAGUCCAAUGGUUCCCAAAUCUGGCUGUGCAUAGGAAUCACCCAGAGGACAUUAAAAAAAUAGAACUUAAAAAAUUAUCUCUGGGCUUCACUUGAGAGAUAAUCAGAAUUGUGGGGUAGAGAAUAGAAAUAAUGGACUUUCACGAAACUCUUGAGGUGAUUCAGUCAAGGCCAACCUGGCCCCAGCAUUUGGAAGUCACUGACAGAUAAGAGCUGAAGCCCAGAGAGGGUGACUGGUCCAUAGUCGUCAGCAGUAGAUCUCCCGGCUUGUUCCACUGCUUCAAGUUUCUUCUCUGAUGAUGUUAGGGCUUUAAAUACUGGAUAUUCCAGCAAAGAGUGACAAAGACACUGCUUGCAGUAGGUUCCAGGGGACCUUUCCAGAGGCACAGCAGGUGGAGUUGUUUUUUAUUUCUUCAAUGUGCAUAAUAGCUUUUCCGUGGAUUAUACGGAUUUGGUAUGCCUCCUUCCAGGGGUUCUGUCUUUUAUGCUUUUUGUUCUGACAUACUUUUUACUUCACUAAAUCAUCCUUCCACAUUUUUAAAUACAGCUUGUCCUUUUUUUCAUUUUUCUAAAAGGAAAACUCUAAAGAACCAUCAACAUCUUACUCCAUCAGAGACCACCCCUUGAAAGGCAGAGGAUUGAGGGGACUGGGGCAGGCCAAAAAGAAAAGUUGCAGGAAAUCACCUUCCCACAGAGGUGAGAGUUUGUGAAGCAGCAGGAGAGGAAGACGUCCCCACUGGAGGAUUAUGCAGCUCCUGGGAUGAAGACACUGUCUGGCUACUGCUGCAGCUCAGAAUGAAUUAGCCGUCUCAGUGGUAGGCUGAAGGUGGAAAAAUGGAGAGGUUAGAAACAUAGGUUUUGAAGUCAAGCAGACCUGGUUUCAGAUUCAAGCUCCAUCUUGCUGAGCCUCAGUUUUCUGUAACUUUGGGGUAAUGAUACCUCAUAGGGUGGUGGUGAGAGUUGGAGAGACUGAUGCCUGGUAAACAGUCUACAAAUGGUGGUGCUAUCAUUAUGGAAGAAUGAUGUUUUGGGGACUCAUGGGGACCUUUUCCUGCUAGUUAUUCUAGAUCUUCUGCAUCAACCCUUCUAAGGGCAGAACUGUGGGCCUGCAUCUCACUUUAGCAGAGUAGGCAGCCUGAUUUGAAUGUAGCUCCAAGGAUCUAAGGCUAGAAAUGUCAUUUUGUUGUCAAAUGAAAGAUGCAUUUUCUCUUGACUUCUAUUUCCCUUUCUGGUCUGCCAAUGAUGGAUCUGAAACAGCACCUUUUAUGUUACACAAAAGAGAUCAAUGCAGGAGAAGCAGGUUUUAUUAGAGAGGGGAGGUCAGUCAGAGGCCUGGGGUGGACAAGCAUAAUCAGUUUUGAGAGGAUGCUGAUGUCAGGCCAGAGAGAGCAAGCCCCAGACAGUGAGGUGUUGGGCAGGCAAUGAGGGUGGGAGAUGACUUUUGCAAAGAAAGCAGGGCAAGUAGGAGCAGAGGAAGAAGAGACGGUAAAGACAGGGCAGCUUUCUGUACUUUAGAAUUCUGCCCAGGCCCACCCAGCUGGUAGACUUAACUUCAAGUUUUGAAUUCCUUACCUAAUUAUGGUCCACUUGGGCAGGAUGAUCCUCUUCAUGCUCGAGCUUUCUCAUCUCUAAAAUGGGCAAAACCCAAGGCCUCCCUCAUAAAUUGAUUGGAUAAAGUAAGCCAAUAGAUCAAGAGCAAAUGUAUGAGUCUUUACUGUGUUCCUUGAAGGGCAUAUUAUGACACUCUUGUGGGAACAUUUCCUCAUUUGUGGCGCUUUAGAAAGGGCCUUCUGUAACCCUGGAAAGGACUCAGGAAGGUCUGCAAGAGCGAAACUACAUCAGCCCAACUUGCAAACAUUUUAAAUUUUGCCCUCGGUGAUUGCGUCUGAAUUAGGUGAGUUGUACUAAUAGAAAUGCUGAAUUCUGUGUGCUUUCUUCAUCCCUCAAAGACAAUGCCCAGAUGUUAUCUAUAUCCCAAAUCCAUUAUUUGCUGAAGGCUUCUAAGUUUUUUGAUAUAGUUGUCACUUAAUAUGUUAACAAGGAAAUUUCUAGAUUCAGGUCAUUUCUUCUCUCAGAGCCCUGGUUUGCUGUGUAAAAGAAGGUUAUAUGAGCAACAACUAAGGCUUCUUAUUGUGGUAAUAUCCUACAUCUCGAGAUGCAGUGACCCCAGACUGUCCUUAGUUGGGAUUAACACAGGGCGCUCAGUCAACUGCACACACAGGUGAAAGUAGGCUAAAAUGCACGUCAAACACUCCCUCAAAGGGGAAGAAAUAAUCUAUUCACUCUUUUCAUCUUUCAUUCAAAAAACACAUAUUGAGCGCCCAAAGUGCAUGAAGGAAUUGUGAAGAAAAGAAACAAUUCUCAAGGAGUCCCAAUGGAAGGGGUGGGGGCAGGCCAUAGAGCAGUGCUGGGAGAAAGAGAGAUCAAAAGGUGGUUGAGAUCACAACCAUAUGCCCUCUGACUGAUCUCAUUUCAAAAAUCCUGCCCAGUUUCUCCAUAGGCACCCCUAAUUUUUCAGGCUAUGUGCCGUUAUUUUGAGUUCCAAAAACUAUGAUCCGAGAAGCUGAUCAUAUUUGAUCAGGGUAAGAGAGAAUCAUGAAAAAGCACCCCUUCCCCACUCCCCUACAAACUGGAGUGGUGAAUGGAGAAGGUAGGGAAGAGAAAAGGGCUGAAGUGGCCCAGUUUGCCUUGAUGGUCCUGGCAGUGGGUCCAGCUCAUGUUACAUCUGUGUGAGAGCUACGAGGUCAUUAAAGAUACUAGCUCUUCCCCAAAUCUCUCCCAGAGUUUGGGAGGAGAUGGGUGGAGAGAGGACAGAGGUAAUGAAACUCAAACUCAGAACCUGAGACCCAGCACUGCCUGUGGUUCUUUUCUUUAAAUCUCAUUCUCUAGAUUAUAUAAUGUAUCCACCCACCAGUCUGAUGAUGAAGGAAGGAGAGGUUAUUAUUUCUCAUAUUUCAUACACAGGAAUAUUAAAGAUUCCAAAGCUUAAGUAAGAUUCCCAAGGUCAUAUGGUAAGCUGGUAGCGGAGACAGGGAAUGGAUUCAGGUUUCUGGUCCUUCCAGUUUUGUUGCCUCAGCAGUCGAUUUUGCUGUCUCUUUAAAUCCCACAGUUAGGAUUAAGGGCUGCAGUUGUGAAUUGGUUCCACCUUAACUUUCUUCAUUAAUUACACACAGACACACAAACAGCGGGUAACCCUUGCUUUCCUAAUCUUCUGCUGCCUAACUACUUCAUAACUUUUUUGAGCAAGGCCUAAAAGAUUGUGGAAUUUUCCCCUAAGACAUAUGAAUAUCUCUUGGUCUUUCAGCUAUUGGUAUUCUGCAACAGCUGCCCGAUGGAGCCAGGGGAGCGCCAAGGACGGACCGGAGCUCCAGCUGCUGGGAAAGAAUGAAAUUAAUUGGGUCAUUUUAUCACAUCACAGUGUCUAUAGUCAAGGCUGGCUGAUUUGAUCUCCACUUUCAACCUGAGGCAGAGCCAAACACAGGCCAAUGAAGCUGUCCAUCUGUGAUUGGGAGCCAGGGAAAAUCAAGCAGGCAGGCAUCGGAAGAAUGUGGCUUACCUGCUGAGUAGAUCAAGACCUUGGACCUCUUUUAAUUUCUUGCAUGAGAGUGGCCUAUUUAGGUUUUUGCUUCUUUUUGAAUAAAUUUUGAUAUUUUA